CCUCAUGACUAUGUCGCUUGUUGUUUCUUUUGUAGAGUUGUGUGAUGAUGUUUGCGUGCUUAUGCUUUUCUUUGAAAGUAGGACGAUGGACUUGUUAUUUUUGGAUUUGCCCAUCUUCCAUGUUUGUUCCCAUUGAAGGCGUCAUUAACAGCAACCGUUGUGCCCAUUGAAGGCGUCAUUAACAGCAACCAUGCACCUCUUCUCAGGCUUAACAUCUCUUUCAUUAUGUCAGACUCAGUGAUUCAUGGAAAAUGUAUGAAAGCCAGUUGACCAAUUUCUCUGUCUGAAUGUUAAACUUAAGCAUGAAACUGCCUCACGAUAUGUCAGUUUGGUUCGAACUCAAUUGAUCGUCGAAUCUAGUCAACACAUUC
rnacentral:lncRNA from 1 species